GAUUAACGCUGGCGGCGUGCAUAACACAUGCAAGUCGAACGAUGAAACUUAAAUGAUUUCUUCGGAAUGAACUUAAGUGGAUUAGUGGCGGACGGGUGAGUAACGCGUGAGUAACCUGCCUUACACAAGGGGAUAGCCGUUGGAAACGACGAAUAAUACCCUAUGAUGUUUCUAUCUCGCAUGAGAUAUUAACCAAAGUGUUAGCGGUGUAAGAUGGACUUGCGUCUGAUUAGCUAGUUGGUGAGAAGAAAGCCCACCAAGGCAACGAUCAGUAGCCGGCUUGAGAGAGUGUACGGCCACAUUGGGACUGAGACACGGCCCAGACUCCUACGGGAGGCAGCAGUGGGGAAUUUUGCACAAUGGGGGAAACCCUGAUGCAGCGACGCCGCGUGAUUUAGAAGGCCUUCGGGUUGUAAAAAUCUUUUGUAUAGGAAGAAAAUGACAGUACUAUACGAAUAAGGUCCGGCUAAUUACGUG
rnacentral:rRNA from 1 species